AAAGCCCCUUGCACUUACGCCUAAUUUAAAACAAAAAGAGGUUGGCCAUGUGCCUAAUUUUUUUAUAUAUAUAAAAUGGAAUUCAUGAUUAGGGCUUUGCCCAUUUACCUGGAAGGCAAACCACAUAAAGGCAGCAGUUCUGCCUGCGCUCAUAAGACCGUGGAAUCAAUUAUCAUUCCGCGAAAAAAAACUAUAUAAGGGGUUUUAAUCGAAAACAUAUUUCGGACUUAAGGUAAACUCGUUUUUAUACUUUAUCGUGAUUUUAGUCUUGAUAAUUUGUUUUGGGUACUGAAAUUUAGUUUUUAAAGACAAGAAUUAUGGACCAUAAGGGUUGUUUUGGAUAAAAAGUUUGAUAAAUUGGAAGUUAGCAUGAAACCUUGAAGGUUGGGUAGUCUAAUUUUACCAUGAAUUAGCCUAAGAUACAAGAUUUAACACAAGAAUGGAUAUGAUGGAAUUAUAGGUUUGAUCCAAGAAAGUGAUACGAAGCGUUUGUGGUGUCAAAUUUGGUACUUCGACACGUGUACUGUGAGUAGUAAUCUUACCAUAAUUUGUGUUUGUUAACUUGCAUAUUGUAUACUUGAUUUUGAUGAAACAAUAAGUUAUGAACUGUUUUCAAAUUGCAUGUGGGGCAAGUCCUUUCUUGAUAUGAUAUUGAAAUGGUUAUUUGAGAUAUGAUAUUAUUACAGUGAAUAUUCUUCACAUAUAAGAGAAAUAUGUAUUUUGACAUGUGUUUUAUUCAAGUUUACAUGUAACAUUAUUUGAUAUGAACUUUAAAUGAUAUGUACUACUCUGAAAAAUGUUUUCAUAUGAAUAUCUUAUUGUUUACAAAGAAUUUAUAAAGGGGAGUAGACCUUGAUGUGAAUCCCAUAGCUAACGGCGAGAUCGUUAGACUUGGUAAACCUUGUAUUUACUGAUGACUGUUACAACUCUUGCUAGUGGGAAGGUAGAAUAGCAUACUGAUACUGAUAUGAUAUUUGACUCUCACUGCUAGGACUAUUCUUGAUGAAAAAGAAUGUCACACUAAUUACAUGAUUUAUUCUUGGAAACCUCCCAAAUAUGUAAUAUUUGAUAUGAUACGAUGCUUUUUGAGUUUAUUACUGAACUAUUGGUUCACUUGGCUUACAUGAAACAAUGAUAUUGUUUAUCGUUAUUAUUUUCUGAAAGAGCAUUAUUUUGUGAUAUUUUAUGACUUGUUCCCAUUAAAGCGGUUGUGGUUAAGUGUUAUUACUCACUGAGCUAGCGUCUCACUCCUCGCUAUUAUUUUUCAGAGAACGCAGGUGACGGUGGGGAACUCGUUGGCUAGAGAAUUCGUGUAGCAUAUUCCUGGUGAUCUCCGUAUUUAUUUGCGUGGGCAAAAAUUUAUUUGUUUGCUAUAUUCUGU
rnacentral:lncRNA from 1 species